CAGUAGCCGCGGGAAUACGUAGGGUGCAAGCGUUAAUCGGAAUUACUGGGCGUAAAGCGUGCGCAGGCGGUUUGUUAAGACAGAUGUGAAAUCCCCGGGCUCAACCUGGGAACUGCAUUUGUGACUGGCAAGCUAGAGUGUGGCAGAGGGGGGUGGAAUUCCGCGUGUAGCAGUGAAAUGCGUAGAUAUGCGGAGGAACACCGAUGGCGAAGGCAAUCCCCUGGACCUGUACUGGCGCUCAUGCACGAAAGCGUGGGGAGCAACCAGGAUUAGAUACCCCGGUAGUCCCUGUCUCUUAUAC
rnacentral:rRNA from 1 species